UACGUAGGGUGCGAGCGUUAAUCGGAAUUACUGGGCGUAAAGCGUGCGCAGGCGGUGAUGUAAGACAGAUGUGAAAUCCCCGGGCUCACUGGGAACUGCAUUGGUGACUGCAUUGCUGGAGUAUGGCAGAGGGGGGGGUGGAAUUCCACGUGUAGCAGUGAAAUGCGUAGAGAUCGGAAAGAACACCAACGCGAAAAGCACUCUGCUGGGCCGACACUGACACUGAGAGACGAAAGCUAGGGGGAGCGAAUGGG
rnacentral:rRNA from 1 species